rnacentral:ncRNA from 1 species
ACAGGAGGCUCAAAUUGGGCACAUUUAACAGUAAUGUUUCUUGAUAACUUGGCUAUAUCGGUGAAACCCUACUCUUAUAGAGGGCAAUACCGAGGGAACCCCCCUUUGCCGAAAGGCUUCGGAGGGGACACCGUAGAGACUACACGCCAAGCCCCAGCUUAGCUGGGUGAAGAUAUAGUCCGACACUCUGAGUAAUCAGAGA